ensembl:lncRNA novel transcript, antisense to FBXO17and FBXO27
AGAUUCUGCGAAGGGACUGACGGCCAGAAGACAGAAAAUCCAGCAACGCUUAUAUAUCAAGAAAAGAAGCGGGGCACGAUUGCUCAUGCCUGUAAUGCUAGCACUUUGGGAGGCCGAGGAGGCCGGAUCACCUGAGGUUGGGAGUUUGAGACCAGCCUGGCCAACAGAGUGAAACCCCGACUCUACUAAAAAAAUACAAAAAUUAGCCAGACGUGGAGGCGCGGGCCUGUAGUCCUAGGUACUUGGGAGGCUGAGGCAGGACAAUUGCUUGAACCUGGGAGGUAGAGGUUGCAGUGAGUCAAGAUGGCGCUACUGCACUCCAGCCUGGGCAACAGAGUGAGACCCUGUCUCAAAACAAACAAACAAACAAACAAACGAACAAACAAACAACAGAAAUCCUAAAUUUUCAAAAUGUUUUUCUAUAACCUCUUUCCCGAUCAUCAUCCAAUGAACUUCCUGCAAAAGCUCAAUCCCUUUCUGGGGACCGCUGCAUCAGUAAUCAAACUGCCUUCCUAAGGUGUGUGUUGUAGCAGGAGAGAAGUGGGGAAGUAGAGUCAGGCUACAGGCCACAGUUGCAACCUACAACUAAUCCAGAAAGUUGAGCACAAGGCAACAGAAAUGAGGCGUCUCCCAAGUGUCCAACCUGUCAGAAGCAGCCAGAGGGGUCACAGUCCCUGAGAGGUGCCCUCCUUGAACUUACAGCUUUUGGCAGGAAUCACAGGUUAGAAAUACAUUCGAUGGCCAGGCGCGGUGGCUCAUGCCUGCAAUCCCAGCACUUUGGGAGGCUGAGGCGGGAGGAUCACCUGAGGUCAGGAGUUCGAAACCAGCCUGGCCAACAUGGUGAAGCCCCGUCUCUACUAAAAAUACAAAAAUUAGCCAGGCAUGGUGGCGUAUGCCUGUAAUCCCAGCUACUUGGGAGGCUGAGGCAGGAGAAUUGCUUGAACCCAGGAGGUGGAGGUUGCAGUGAGCUGAGAUCACACCACUGCACUCCAGCAUGGGUGACAGAAGGAGACUCCGUCUAAAAAAAAAUUAAAAAAAAUAAAAGAAAAUAAAAAGAAAGAAAUAUAGAGCCAAGAAGCCAGUUGAUUGUAGAUGGUUUCCUCAAAGAAGAAGCCCUUUCCUUGGCCUGGCGUGGUGGCUCACAUCUGUAAUCCCAGCACUUUGGGAGGCCAAGGCAGGCGGAUCACGAGGUCAGGAGAUCGAGACCAUCCUGGCUAAUACGGUGAAACCCCGUCUCUACUAAAAAUACAAAAAAUUAGCCGGGUGUGGUGGUGGGCGCCUGUAGUCCCAGCUACUCGGGAGGCUGAGGCAGGAGAAUGGCGUGAACCUGGGAGGCAGAGCUUGCAGUGAGCUGAGAUCACGCCACUGCACUCCAGCCUGGGGGAGACAGUGAGACUCCGUCUCAAAAAACAAAAAGAAGCCCUUUCCUGUGGGCAUUUUUAUGUGAUCCAGAUGGUCCAGUCAGCAUCCAUGAUGUUUUCAGUUUAGGUCCCACGGAGGGUGCCCUAAGUCUGCAAUGGUCUCAUAGUCGAAGUGCUGUUCCUGGAGUGUGCGCCCGUUUUUAAUUUAGCACAGCACAUGCUGAGACUGAAACAGCACAGAGCAGACAGCAGUAUCAGGUUUUGGCUUACAGUCAGGUCCAGGCCAGUAGGAUCUGUGAAUUCAGGAAGCCACAAGUCAGUGGCUGUUCUUUGGCAGCAGCAAAGCCAAGAUGCUGCAGGCUAGAAGGUUCUGUUUCAAGUGCAAGUGACAAACAAGGCUUUCCUAAGCCUUUUUACCUCGUCAAUCUUAGAGCUGGAAUUGGUGCACUCAAAAACACGCACGGGCUGGAUGCAGUGGCUUGUGCCUGUAAUCCCAGCACUGUGGGAGGCUGAGGCGAGAGGAUUGCUUGAGCACAGGAGUUCAAGACCAGCCCAGGC